CCUACGGGAGGCAGCAGUGAGGAAUAUUGGUCAAUGGGCGCAAGCCUGAACCAGCCAAGUCGCGUGCAGGAUGACUGCCCUAUGGGUUGUAAACUUCUUUUAUACAGGGAUAAAUUGCGGUACGUGUGCCUUUUUGAAAGUAUCUUAUGAAUAAGGAUCGGCUAACUCCGUGCCAGCAGCCGCGGUAAUACGGAGGAUCCGAGCGUUAUCCGGAUUUAUUGGGUUUAAAGGGAGCGUAGAUGGGUGGUUAAGUCAGUGGGGAAAGUUUGGGGCUCAACCGUAGAAUUGCAUUUGAUACUGGCAGUCUUGAGUAUAGUUGCGGUAGGCGGAAUGCAUGGUGUAGCGGUGAAAUGCUUAGAUAUCACGAAGAACUCCGAUUGCGAAGGCAGCUUACUAAACUGGCACUGACACUGAUGCUCGAAAGUGUGGGGAUCAAACAGGAUUAGAUACCCGAGUAGUC
rnacentral:rRNA from 1 species